rnacentral:rRNA from 1 species
CCUACGGGAGGCAGCAGUGAGGAAUAUUGGUCAAUGGACGAGAGUCUGAACCAGCCAAGUAGCGUGAAGGAUGACUGCCCUAUGGGUUGUAAACUUCUUUUAUAAAGGAAUAAAACGAGGCACGUGUGCCUUUUUGCAUGUACGUUAUGAAUAAGGAUCGGCUAACUCCGUGCCAGCAGCCGCGGUAAUACGGAGGAUCCGAGCGUUAUCCGGAUUUGUUGGGUUUAAAGGGAGCGUAGAUGGGUUGUUAAGUCAGUUGUGAAAGUUUGCGGCUCAACCGUAAAAUUGCAAUUGAUACUGGCAGUCUUGAGUACAGUUGAGGUCGGCGCAAUUCGUGUUGUAUCGGUGAAAUGCUUCUAUCUCACG